GACACAGAUGCAGACAAAAGGGAAGUCAUAGUAGCUUGUGAAUAGGGAGAGAUUUCAGCUGCAGCCAGCCCGGUAGCCCUUGCACAGGUGGGAGUGUCCUGUUGGGGCCCUGCCACCUGGCAGGUCUCUCUGGGGCUCAGCCAGAUGAAGGAGGAAGGCUUCAAUAUCCAGAUUUGCCCCAGGAUCCUGCAGCUCCUGAAAGGCAAGCUGGUGGUGGGUCAUGACCUGAAGCACGACUUCCAGGCACUGAAAGAGGACAU
rnacentral:sRNA from 1 species